rnacentral:rRNA from 1 species
UACGGUAGGUGACAAGCGUUGUCCGGAUUUACUGGGCGUAAAGAGCGCGCAGGCGGUCGUUCAAGUCGAGUGUGAAAGCCCCCGGCUCAACUGGGGAGGGUCAUUCGAUACUGAUCGACUCGAAGGCAGGAGAGGGAAGUGGAAUUCCAGGUGUAGCGGUGAAAUGACGUAGAUAUCUGGAGGAACACCGGUGGCGAAGGCGGCAUCCUGGACCGGUAUGACGCUGAGGCGCGAAAGCUAGGGGAGCAAACGGG